GGGGUUAAAUCUCAGGCUCCGGCGUCUGGGGAGAAGGUGAGGCGGGUAGUUAUAAUUAUUCAAUAUGUUCCCACUGACUGAGGAAAACAAGCAUGUGGCCCAGUUGUUGCUCAAUACUGGUACUUGUCCAAGAUGUAUCUUCAGAUUCUGUGGUGUGGAUUUUCAUGCACCUUACAAACUUCCAUACAAGAUGAAGAAACUGAGAUACAGAGAGGUUAAGCAACCUGCCCAAAGUUACACAGCUAUUAAGUGAGCAAGCUAGGAUUUGAACAGUCUGACUGAAUUCAAAACCUAGGAUUUGGAACUAGAAGACAUGGAUUUGAAUCCCAGUUCCACCACUUUCCAGCUUCAGUUUACUCCUCUGUAAAUGGGAAUGAUGAUAAUACCCACCUCACAGGACUUUAAGGGACAAUACCUAAUAAAGAGUUGCUCAAUGAACUACAGAAAUUUCUGGAAACUGAAAAAGAUGAAUUAAUUUUGGAAGUUAUGAACCCACCUCCCAAGAAAAUUCGACUGCAAGAACUGGAAGAUAGUAUUGAUAAUCUAAGUCAAAAUGGAGAGGGAAGGAUCUCUGUUAGUCAUGUUGGAAGCACUGCUUCCAAGAACUCAAAUUUAAAUGUAUGUAAUGUAUGCCUAGGAAUUCUUCAAGAAUUCUGUG
rnacentral:lncRNA from 10 species